UACUGCUUUUCAGCUAAAGGA
rnacentral:miRNA from 1 species